rnacentral:rRNA from 1 species
AUUGAACGCUGGCGGCAGGCCUAACACAUGCAAGUCGAACGAGCGGCGGACGGGUGAGUAAUGUCUGGGAAACUGCCCGAUGGAGGGGGAUAACUACUGGAAACGGUAGCUAAUACCGCAUACCAUCGGAUGUGCCCAGAGGGGGUUAGCUAGGAGGUGGGGAAACGGCGAACCUAGGCGACGAUCCCUAGCUGGGCUGAGAGGAUUACCAGCCACACUGGAACUGUGACACGGUCCAGACUCCGACGGGAGGCAGCAGUGGGGAAUAUUGCACAAUGGGCGCAAGCCGGAUGCAGCCAUGCCGCGUGUAUGAAGAAGGCCUUCGGGGUGUAAAGUACUUUCAGCGAGGAGGCGUUACUCGCAGAAGAAGCACCGGCUAACUCCGUGCCAGCAGCCGCGGUAAUUC